rnacentral:lncRNA from 1 species
CACCUCCCGGACGGGGCGGCUGGCCUGGCGGGGCUGACCCCCACCUCCCUCCCGGAUGGGGUGGCUGCCGGGCAGAGACGCUCCUCACUUCCCAGACGGGGUCACGGCCGGGUAGAGGCGCUCCUCACAUCCCAGACGGGGCGGCGGGGCAGAGGCGCUCCCCACAUCUCAGACGAUGGGCAGCCGGGCAGAGACGCUCCUCACUUCCUAGAUGGGAUGGCGGCCAGGCAGAGGCUGCAAUCUCGGCACUUUGGGAGGCCAAGGCAGGCGGCUGGGAGGUGGAGGUUGUAGCGAGCCGAGAUCACGCCACUGCACUCCAGCCUGGGCACCAUUGAGCACUGAGUGAACCAGACUCCGUCUGCAAUCCCGGCACCUCGGGAGGCCGGAGGCCGAGGCUGGCGGAUCACUCGCAGUUAGGAGCUGGAGACCAGCCCGGCCAACACAGCGAAACCCCGUCUCCACCAAAAAAAUACGAAAACCAGUCAGGCGUGGUGGCGCGCCUGCAAUCGCAGGCACUCGGCAGGCUGAGGCAGGAGAAUCAGGCAGGGAGGCUGCAGUGAGCCGAGAUGGCAGCAGUACAGUCCAGCUUCGGCUCGGCAUCAGUGGGAGACGGUGGAAAGAGAGGGAGAGGGAGACUGUGGGGAGAGGGAGAGGGAGAGGGGGGAGAGGGAGAGGGAGAGGGAGGAGCCAUAAUUCUUGUAUUUGGAAUCAGUCUAGUUCCCAAGAACUUCAGUUUGAUGCUCUUCAAGUUCUACCUUCACUAUAGGAUGUGGUUUUCAAGAUGAAAGUUACGACCCACCAAUGGGUUUUGAAAUAAAUUUAGUAGGCCACAACCAGUAUUUUUUUUAACAAAGGAAUCGAAUAGAAAAGAAAGUAUCAGGAUAUAUAACACAUGGCAAGGAUGAUAAUAUGUAAAACUUUGGUUUCAAAGACAAUAUGUGUGUCUAUUUAUAUAUCUAUUUCACACCAUAUAUGCUGACCUACACACCUACAUGUUUGUGUGUACUUGGUUAUGAUAAAAAUUCAUUAAAUGAUGGUAAAAAAAAGUUUGAAAAAACAAAUAAUUCAAUCUAAAAAUGAGAAAAGAAUCUCAAUAGACAUCUCUCAAAAGAAGGCCUACAAAUGGUCAACAAGAAUAUGAAAACAUGUUCAACAUCUCUAUUAGGGAAAUGUAAAUUAAAAUCACAUGAAAUAUCAUCCAACUCCCAUUAGAAUGGCUGCCAUCAGAAAAACAAAAUAACAACAGCAACAACAACAAAAAUCGAAUGUUGGUGAGGAUGUGGAGAAAAGGAAAUUCUUAUAUUACAUUCUUGGUAAGAAUGUAAAUUAGUACAGCCAUUAUAGAAAACAAUAUGGAGGUUUCUCAAAAACCUAAAAAUAUAACUACCAUAUGAUUCAGCAAUCCCACUACUUCCCCAAAGGGAAGGAAAUCAAUAUAUGGAAAAGACAUCUGCACUCCCAUGUUUAUUCCAGCACUAUUCACAAUAGCCAAGGUAUGGAGUCAACCUAAAUGUCCAUCAACAGAAGAAUGAAUAAAGAAAAUGUGGCAUGUAUACACAAUGGAGUACUAUUCAGCCAUAUAAAAGGAAUGAAAUUGGUUGGGGGGGCAUGGUGGCUUACGCCUGUAAUAGCAGCACUUUGGGAGGCCGAGGUGGGAGGAUCACCUGAGGUCAGGAGUUCAAGACCAACCUGACCAACGUGGAGAAACCCCAUCUCUACUAAAAAUACACAAUUAGCCAGGCGUGGUGGCACAUGCCUGUAAUCCCAGCUACUCGGGAGGCUGAGGCAGGAGAAUCACUUGAACCUGGGAGGCAGAGGUUGCGGUGAGCCGAGAUCACACCAUUGCACUCCAGCCUGGGCGACAAGAGCGAAACUCCGUCUCAGAAAAAAAAAAAGGAAUGAAAUCCUGAAUCCCGUCAUUUGUGACAACAUGGAUGAGCUUGGAGGACAUUAUGGUAAGUGAAAUAAACCAGGAACAGAAAAUAAAUACUGCAUGUUCUCUCUCAUACAUGAGAGCUAAAAAAAAGUUGGUGUCUAAGAAGCAGAGAGUAGACUAGUGGUUAUUAGAGGCUGGGAAGCAUAGUGGAGAGGUUGGUUAACAGACUUAACAGACACAAAAUUACAGAUAGAUAGGGGAAUAAGUUCUAAGUGUUCUAUAGAACUGUAGAGUGAAUAUAGUUAACAAUAUUUUAUUGUAUAUUUUUAAAAAUCUAGAAGAGAGGAUUUUGAACGUUCCCAACACAAAGAAAAGAUGAAUGUUUGCGGUAAUAGAUACGUCAAUUACCCUGAUUUGGUUAUUACGCAUUAUAUACAUGUAUUCAAAUAGUGCUCUGUAUCCCAUAACAUGUACAAUUAUUAUAUGUCAACUAAAAAUAAAAGAAAAAACAUUUGAAGGCUUGUGCUGUAUGUUUUGAGCCAUUCUAAUGCCUGAAUCACUUACAAAGAGAUGCAGAGCGUGAUGAAGCUAGUCUGUACUGGGAAAAGAAAUGGCUAGAGCCAAAAAAAGAAAGGGACUUAUGGAAGCAAACUCACAGUGGCUACUCUGCUCCCUACCAUUGCCUCUGACGAGUUGAGGUCCCCAGGAGGUCUCCUCAUACACAUCGUUCUUCCCUGAUUGCCUGUGAGAUAACUCUUUCCUUUCUUUCCUAUCUGUAUACACAGCAUGAGUUUCCAUAAGCUAAAUGGGACAUAACAUGAUUGAUUAACUAGGGGACAUGUGUAGACCCUCUUCUGACCCAUACAGAAGUAGAGUGUGUGGGCAGAGAGAAAGGCCUGUUGUGUAAGUGCCACAGCCUCUUUGUUGUGCUAAAAGCAAUGGAAAUGUCUAAGAAGUAUUGUGAUGGCCUAAGACGUCAUUCUUGAGCAAGAGCUAGAUGGAAUCACAUGCCAUAUUUUUACGUUUACAAUUUCAGUGUUCUAGCUAUAUACUUAAAACUAUAAACAAUGCUUUUGUUACAGAGAUUCCUGCAGUCCCCAUGCCCCUCUUUUUUUUGUUAACUGAAACAAAAGUAUGUAUAAUGCUGUUUUUGUUAAAGUAAGGUUGCCUGGGCACACCACCCUCACAUCAUUGCAGAACGCACUAAACUAGAGCCUGCCGUCGUUUGGGCCAACCCAACGGAAUUGCUCUCCCUUGUAAUCAUAAGGACCUAAAACUGAACAGUGUGUCAGAAUCUAGCUAUCAAGUUGAAAUAGGUUAAUCUGAUCUUAUCACCAGCAGACGCAUCUCAGUCAUCUGGAAGAAAGUGCUGUUACAAGAAGUAACUCUGGGUAUGCGCUUCAGGAAUGCAGUUGUGGAAACCAUGUUUGCGGCUGCUUUAAACUGUUUCCCAGGAGUCAAGGAAAAUUCAACAAUCUGAGACCAAAAAGGUAUCUUCGGCACAGUCUUCCUUGGCACAGCCGUGGAGAACAGAGCCAGGGCUUUGAGUCAGAGGAAUUGGGUUGAAACCUGCCUGUAUUGGUUGCAACCUGGUGACCUUGGAUAUCCUUUUUAUUCUCUGAGCCUUAUAUACCCCCUGGAUAAAAUAUAUCUGAUGAAACCUGCUGUUGCAUGUUCUGGGAUUUAAAUGAAUAACACCGUACCUAAAGCAUUUGGUGCAGGGUUAGGACGUGUAGAAGCUUAAGUUGUUAUUCUUCUUCUUAACAUUUUCCUGGAACUCCGGUGAGGCUCCCCGAGCAUGGGACUUUUUAGCUCCGUCUGACGACUGAUCCCUGCAGUUAACUGAUCAUUCUACAAAGCCACCAUUUGCUGAAUCCAUUGCCAAAGAAUCGAUACAGGUGAUAUCUCAGCCCAAGCUGCUAUAUCAAAAUACUAUUGACUGAGUGGCUUAAGCCACAGACAUUUAUUUCUUACAGUUGUGGAGGCUGGGAAGCCCAAGAUGAAAGUGCUGGCAGAUCCUGUGUCUAGUGAGGGCUGUCUUCCUGGUUGGCAGAUAGCCGUCUUCUUGCUGUAUCCUCGCAUGGUGGAGAGAGAGAUCUCAUGUUUCUCCAUUUCUUUAAUGAGGGCAUUCAGCCCAUCAUGAGGGCCCCACCCUCACCCUCAUGACUUAAUCUAACCCAGCCCCUACCUCCAAGUACCAUGAGGGUUAGGGUUUCAGCAUAUAAAUUGAGGGGAGGAAGACACAAACACUUAGUCUAUAGCAGGUGAAUUGGCUGCUUCCAUCCUGGCUUGGAACUUCAGACAUAGAAGCCUUGGGACUUUCUCAGGACUUUCUCCAGAUCUGACUCAUGCUCAGCAAACAAGCAUCUCUGUGGAUCACGUGACCUUAGCCAGGGAUGUUGGUGAAACUGUGUGUUGGUCUAGGUACCUAGCCCAUGCUAGGUGCUCAUCGAAUAGCUUUAGUGGGUGACUGUGACUGAAGAGGCAUCCUGGGCUGUGCUUUCACACCACCAGUGCCAAUGCUAUGCAUUUGCUCUUUUUCUAGCAUUUUUUUUUUUUUUUUUUUUUGAGAUGGAAUCUUGCUCUGUCUCCCAGGCUGGAGUGCAGUGGCAUGAUCUUGGCUCACUGCAACCUCUGCCUCCCAGGUUCAAGCAAUUCUCCUGCCUCAGUCUCCCAAGUAGCUGGGAUUACAGAUGUGCACUACCAUGCCCUACUGAUUUUUGUAUUUUUAGUAGAGACGGGGUUUCACCGUGUUGGCCAGGCUGGUCUUGAACUCCCGACCUUAGGUGAUCCACCCACCUCGGCCUCCCAAAGUGCUGGGAUUACAGGCAUGAGCCACCGUGCCUGGCCUUUAGGAUGUUUAUAUGCUCUCUAUGCACCAUGAUAUUUGCGCCCUGGCGGAGCAGUCUCAGUUCCACUUCUGAGCUGGGAUGAGUAUUUAGCUCCUUCCCCAUCUGAUGCGAACUAGGCAACACUACAGAGCCAGAGGCAGAAAACAGGAGGGCUUCUCACCUGUCCUUGUCCAUGAAUAGCCAGUGCUCUGCUGAGGACUCCAGGAACCCACUCUUCAUGAUCAGCCUCAAUUGGCAGUGGCCAUCUCCUCUGGCAGCAAGCACAAGUGGACUUCUCUUCCUGCCCACAUCUGCUAGAUGAGGGUGACCCUCUGGAGAGAGGCUGGGAGAAGCUAGCCAGCCUGUAACCAGUGGGCUAGUGUGUGUACAUAUUGUAUGCAUGCUGGGGGACAGAAGAGGGUGUGGGGAAGGGCAACUUGCUUUCCCCAGGUGAAGGAGUAAGGAAAUGUUUCCUUCCCAACCUUCUUUCUAGACCAGCUAAUACUCCAGUUUCACCCUUUGGGCAAGUCAUUUAUCUGUCUGAGCCUGAACUUCCUCAUGUAUAUGAAAGAUGGAGAAGACCAUUGUAGAAAUUCAUGUUAUUAGUAUUCCAAGCAAAAGAGCUAAAGGUUGGUCUCUCAAAUUCCUACCCCUUUGAAGACCGAUGGAUAAGAUUCUUUAAGUUUGCUGCAGGUGAUUAACUAUGCAAGGGCUAAAGACAGCAGAACUCUUGCCAAAGUAGCGUGCCACGGUAAUUCUGCCAUGACCUAUGUAAGCAGAAAUGGGUGGAUAAAUAGUUGCAGACUAUCUACAGAUUUCCGUCUUCCAAGUCUUCCAGGCAGAGGCUACAAAAUAAAAUACCCUUAAGAGCCAGGCAGGUAAUGAGAAUGAGUGGUGCAUGCCGGGGGUUUGCAUAGUAAAUAUUAGCACUAUUCCUUGCUUCCACAAAGGCGCUUUCUGCACUUGCUGGUAAAACACACAGUCCUCUGGGUAUAUGUUUUGUUUUCUCACAUUUUGUAGAUUCAUGAGCACAGAGAAAUAUUUCUGCACUACAAGCAAAACACUAAAAUAUAGGCUGAAGUAGCAACAGUGGAAGGAGCCCUGGAGAAUUGGGAAGCAUGUACUCUACCCAAAGAGGACCUAAGCUGUGCAACUCCAGCUCACCGUUCAGGGAGGGGAGUAAUGUGGGCCCAGUGUAGCCAGAACCUCUACUUCUUUAUUUAAAAGAAGCUGGAAAUCCAGAUUUUUAAAAACGUAGAGUCUCCUGCUUUUGCUGUUUUUCUUUUUCUUCUUUUUCCCUUUUAAUGGUGCACAUGUAUUUUUUAAAACUUUGUGCACACGAAAUAAAACCCACCUCCUGGUGGCCUGUCUGCCUCUUACCUUCCACAUACCACACUGAAUUUUGAAGGGUUCUCGCUGAAUUGCUCCAAAUCUGACAUUCUGGGUAACCCUCCUCAUGCAGCUGGGAGCCUUUGGAAUCUUCACAACCAGGAGGGCUGUGUCUUUGACCUUGAUUUAGGCCUUGUGUCUUCAGGGCAUGCCAAGGGGCCGGUGCAGGCUGGACAGAGGUGUGAUCUCCUUUUCUCAGCAUAAUUUCCUUCCUGGGGUCUUCAUAUCGCCCUGAGGCAGGAGCUGGGGUGCUGGCUCCUUCUGAAGGUCGCUUUUCUGGCCUUUGCCUGGG